AGAAGCCCGGCUCCUCGCCGGGGAAGGCCGGAUGCUGGCCCGCCGGGACCUGGGACUUGUGCCACAUGGAGUGUCGGGAGUCUCCAUUGCCGCGAGUUCUACACCACAGGGCCAGGCUGUUUGCUCCCCAUCGGUCGCUGCCCCCAGCACCCUGUUGUUAUUAAGGACUCAUUUGCUUGGAGCGGCAUCAUUACAAGGGUGUGGGCACCAGAUACUGCUACACCAUCUCAUCGGCAUGGACCUAUAUGUGGCAGCAAGUCCAUCUCAUCGCUUUUGGUGAAAGUCAGUCCAGUUUGUAAAGAUUCUCAUUGUUUUGCAGGCUUAGAGGUCUUGGCUUCCAAAGGGAGAAAGCUUCCACCAGGGGACACAGAAGGGUCCCAUUGAACUCUAAGCUAUGGUUACUGGUGGGGCACUUCAGAUUCCAUG
rnacentral:lncRNA from 10 species